rnacentral:ncRNA from 2 species
ACCCAUGUGCCGGGGUGCUCUUCGCAGGAAGGGCUGAGAUCAGACCCGUGGAACCUGAACCGGAUAAUACCGGCGCAGGAAGCGCAAGACGGAACGAC